CAUCUGCUGGGGAUGUAGGUCCAUGUCCUUGACCCAAGACCUUCCCUCAUUCCUGCCCCCAUCCCUCCUCAAGCCAUAUCCCUUACAUCCCUUGAGUCCUCCAUCCCCCCUCCCCCAUCUCCCUGUUCACAGCCUCUGCCCCUCCUCUCCCUACCCUGUACCACCCCCACCCCAGGUCUUCCUCCAUCUCCUUGGGAACACAGAGCUCCUCUAGCAGGCACUCUCAGAACACAGCCUGCCGGCCCCAGCACCCGGCCUUGCUCCCAGCCUCUUCCCUCUGUAUUCAGCUCAGGCGCUCAGGACUGCCAGGACCCAGAGGAUUCACACGCCAGCCCCGGCUGAAGCCCAGCUCCUCAUCAACCGGUGAGCCGCCUGCCAGCUCCUGCUCCAGCUGCUGAGAGGCCUGAAGAGACCAAGACAGAGACACAGCCCCGCAGCACCACAGGGAGGCCCCAGUUACCCCAUGCGGAUGAGUUUCAUGGCCAUCUCUAACUAAGGACAGGACAUCGAUGUCAUCUGUAACUUCCGGUGCACUGGGGCACACAGCUGCAUCUCCCCAUGCUCACCUCCUGCCUCUUGCUCUGCCCAGUGUGAGGACUCAGCCUGGAUCACCUCCUCCAGGACAAGAACAACCUACCAUCAUCUGUCCGUCCAAUCUACCCACCCAUCCAUCUCUGCCUCUGGCCAUGCAUCCGUCCGUCCAUCCAUCCCCGCCUCUGUGCAUGCAUCUGUCCAUCCAUCCCCGCCUCUGUGCAUGCAUCUGUGCAUCCAUCCAUCCCUGCCUCUGUGCAUGCAUCUGUCCAUCCAUCCCCGCCUCUGUGCAUGCAUCUGUCCAUCCAUCCCCACCUCUGUGCAUGCAUCUGUCCGUACAUCCAUCCCUGCCUCUGUGCAUGCAUCUGUCCAUUCAUCCCUGCCUCUGUGCAUGCAUCUGUCCAUCCAUCCAUCCCCGCCUCUGUGCAUGCAUCUGUCCAUCCAUCCCUGCCUCUGUGCAUGCAUCUGUCCAUUCAUCCCUGCCUCUGUGCAUGCAUCUGUCCAUCCAUCCAUCCCUGCCUCUGUGCAUGCAUCUGUCCAUUCAUCCCUGCCUCUGUGCAUGCAUCUGUCCAUCCAUCCAUCCCUGCCUCUGUGCAUGCAUCUGUCCAUUCAUCCCUGCCUCUGUGUAUGCAUCUGUCCAUCCAUCCAUCCCCACCUCUGUGCAUGCAUCUGUCCAUCCAUCCCCGCCUCUGUGCAUGCAUCUGUCCGUCCAUCCAUCCCUGCCUCUGUGCAUGCAUCUGUCCGUCCAUUCAUCCCUGCCUCUGUGCAUGCAUCUGUCCAUUCAUCCAUCCCUGACUCUGUGCAUGCAUCUGUCCAUCCAUCCAUCCUUGCCUCUAUGCAUGCAUUUGUCCGUCCAUCCAUCCCUGCCUCUGUGCAUGCAUCCAUACCUGCCUCUGUGCAUGCAUCUGUCAGUCUAUCAAUCCCCGAUCCCUUCUUUGUAAUGGUGUUGAGCGCUCACAACUCCCUCAUCCUAAGACGCUCGUUGGAUCCAUUCCCUCCCCUCACCCCAUGCUGCUCUCUGCCCUCCCUUCCCGGUCAAGUUCUCCAGCCAGUGGUCUCAACUCAAUCUUCACUUCCCCCGCUCCUCUCACACCUAUCCCCACUGCAUUCUAAAUUCUUCCCCAACGCGCUGGGCCUACAGGCACUAAAAAGGUCACUUUGUCCCUGGAUGACCAAACACAGGCCAAUGUAACUUACUGGGCUUGUUUUGCCCCAGCCACAGCUGACCACUUCCUCCUUCACUCUUGUUGUUGAUCACCUUUGGGCUUAGUCUUUCUCCAUCUCUGUUGAGUCCUUCUCCCCUGCCACCUACUCCUUCAUGCUGGGGUUCUCUGUAGCUCUGUACCUGACAGUCACGUUCCACCCUUUCCUCCCAGAAGCUCGCCAACCCCCGUGGACUGCUGGCUCUCAAGGCGGCCGCUAGCCCAGCUCCGACAGCAGCUGACAAUGCACAGUAUGCGGCCCAGGGCAGGCCCUGUGCUGAGAGGCAUGGGUGAAUGGCUCAUUUCAUCGGCAAGCCCACGCCACCAGCAGGCGCCGUUCUCCUCGCAUUUCUCAGGCGAGGAACCUGAGACAAUGAGGUUAAGGAAGUUGUUCAUUACAAGUGGAAGAACCCUGACUUACUUGAAUUCA
rnacentral:lncRNA from 1 species